rnacentral:rRNA from 1 species
GACGAACGCUGGCGGCGCGCUUAACACAUGCAAGUCGAACGGAAAGGCCUGCUUUCCCUUGUGGAUUGCGGGUACUCGAGUGGCGAACGGGUGAGUAACACGUGAGUGAUCUGCCCCCAACUUGGGUAUAAGCCUGGGAAACUGGGUCUAAUUCCCGAUAGGACUGCAGGGUGGUGCCUGUGGUGGAAAACGAUUUUCUAGUGGUUGGGGAUGAGCUCGCGGCCUAUCAGCUUGUUGGUGGGGUAAUGGCCUACCAAGGCGGCGACGGGUAGCCGGCCUGAGAGGGUGGACGGCCACAUUGGGACUGGGAUACGGCCCAGACUCCUACGGGCGGCGGCAGUGGGGAAUAUAGCACAAUGGGCGGAAGCCUGAUGCGGCGACGCCGCGUGGGGGAUGACGGCCUUCGGGUUGUAAACUCCUUUCGACCGCGAGGAAGCCACCUGGUUGGAAGGGUGGUGACGGUAGUGGUAGAAGAAGCACCGGCUAACUACGUG